rnacentral:sRNA from 1 species
AGCUGCUGGAAACUCUGGCCCAGCUGCGGGAGGACCAGCAAGUGCGUGUCUUGCUCUUCAGAAGUGGAGUGAAGGGCGUGUUCUGUGCAGGCCCCCAUUGCUGUGCGGCUGGGCAAAGUAGCCAUUGACCGAGGAAUAGAGGUGGACAUUGUAUCCGGGAUGGCCAUUGAAGGGAUGUGCUAUGCCCAGAACAUUCCAACCCGGGACCGGCUAGAGGGCAUGGCAGCCUUCAGGGAGAAGCGGCCCCCCAAAUUUGUUGGCAAAUGACCCCCAUUUUAACCUUCAGCAUGGGAGAUGCAUGCCCUGAAGAGCAGGAUCCAGAAGGAAGAUUUGUGGCCGAAUUUACUUCAUCAUUUCACCUCUCCAGGCUUCCGUUUCUUCACAAGGAUGAUGAUGGAGAUAAAAUGACUGGCGUGAUGCCUGGAACCAAGGUGCUGAUCCUACCACCUACUGCUACCUUCCUUAGCUUCACCCUGGCUAGAAAUAAUCACGAGGGUUGGGUUUGCUUUGGAAAAUGCCGUCUCUCUACUUGAAUGAUAAAGAAUUAAAUUAGA